GCGAAGUCACUCGGUCGUGUCUGACUCUAGCGACCCCAUGGACUGCAGCCCACCAGGCUCCUCCGUCCAUGGGAUUUUCCAGGCAAGAGUACUGGAGUGGGGUGCCGUUGCCUUCUCCGGCUAGGCUCUAUAUGGUUUCUAUAUUCUGAUGGUCCCCUGGGUCCCUUCCAGCAAUCAGUUUCCGAUUCUAAUGCUCUCUCCCUUCCCCAUCAUCCUCAUUUUAGUCUGGCAAACCUACCUCCUCCACCUUUUCCUAGCUUUUGCCCAAGUUCUUUUCCUGGUGGAGUUUGACUGCUUAUGUUUUGGAUCCUCAAACCUUGACCCUCUCCCACCCUGCCCCACACUGCCCCCAGCAUUGCUUAGCUCAGAUGCUAAGUCUUACUUCCUGUCUGUGUCUGAGACCUGGUCUCCUUGAGGCGGGAACCAGGCUCCACCCUUACUGGGCUGGAAACCCUAGGAGGGGCUGAAUGAACUGACUGCCACACCCAUUAGCAAGGCCCUCCUGAGCUCUAGAUCCAGUUGCCUCUAGGAAGGCUGAGCCUCCUUCUCAUCUGACAUUCUCACGGGCUUGUUUUCUGCUGUCCGGGAGCAACUUUAAUUCAUUUUGAGUAGGGUAGCACAGUGAUUAUGCAUGAGGACUUGCUUUGGGCCCUGAAUGUGAGUUCCUCUGCUUACUGGUUGUGUUACCGUGUGUGAGUUAUUUGACCUCUCUGCCACCAUUUCCUCAACUGUAAUAAAGCUGUUGUAUGAAUUAAAUGAAUUAAUGUAAGAAAAACAUUUACAUGUACAAGUCAGGAUGCAGCCAAAGAUAGCUAUUAUUAUAGGGAGUCUUCUGUUGCUAUUUUUAUCACUGGCAUUAUUACAGUAGGUCCACUGAUGAACUUGGCCUCCAGUAGAAGGACAUUUCCAAGCCCUUUGGCAUGAACCCACCCACACUGGUGGGCUUUUCACAGACCCCCUGGUUGCCGGGUCAGACAGACAAUAAGAACUGGUUUUCUUAAAGGGGUGGGGGCCCCAGGCAGGGUGGAAGCCAUCCUUCUUACCGCUGGAUUACUGAUCAGAUCCGGGAAGGGAAAAUGUUUCCCAUCUAUAUCCCCAUCUCAAGUAGUGGACACAGACUCCGGCUGGAGUCUGAGAGAUAAGACUAAAGGAAAGAUUUUCUAGCUUCCUGCUGAAUGGGCCACUCUCCUCCCCAGAGAAAAUAGAACCAAGCACUUUCUGGCCAGCGGAAGGAGGUGGAGCCACUCUCUGAAGGCGAGGGGAGGGUCAAAAUGAGCUAUUGAGUCUGGAAUUUGGCAAGCAGGGUUGUCCAAAACACAAUUUUCCAUUCCCAGGCGAAGGGAGGCUGAGACGGGAAGGGAGCAAGAAGAGUGUGGAAGUGGAGGCAGCCAGGCAGGGCAAGGCUCGGGCCAGAGCCCUACAGGAAGCCUCUGAGGGAACCAGGAACUUGGGCGCACCUCCCGCACCGAGGAGCAACCCAGGAGAGACUUCUAGCCGCCAUCCUGGAGGUCCUUGCACCCAGUUCCCUUCACCCACCCCAGGAAGAGAUGCAGAAAGACACUUCGCUGCCACCCCCAUCUGGGCCCUUGGAUUCCAACACUGCCCUGGGGGCAGGCCAGCAGGCCAGCUCCUCUGGACUCCCAAGCAAGAGCAAGACUCGGCGCCGCACCAGCCCCAAUCCCCACCGGAAGCCCAGCAUAUCCAAGGUGAUCCUGGGGUUCGUGGCAGACAAGGGGGCAGGCAACCGCGUGUCCCUGGCCGCCCUGAAGAAGGCUGUUGCCACCAGGGGCUACAACAUGACCCGCAAUGCCUGGCGCUUCAAGCGAGUGCUCCAGGGGCUGGUGGACAAGGGCAUGCUCAAGCAGGUGACAGGCAAGGGGGCCACAGGCUCCUUCCUCAUGGGCAAGAAUCACACCUCCAAGUUUAAGCUCAAGGCCAAGAGACGGCGGCAGCCUGGGCAGCACCAGCCUGGGCAGCGCCAGUUGCCCGUGGGCUCCAAACCGGGGCGCAAGCGACCCAUGAAGGGGGUUCGCAGGGCGGCCAAAUGCCGCCGCAGUUAACCAGGAAGGUUGGGCAAGCAGGCAGGGGUGCCAGGCCCACCAUAGGCUCAGUGCAGUGAGAAUAAAAGGAGCCUAACAUUUCA